GGGACUGCCAGCAUUGGAUUGUGCUGCUGUACAAUGUUCUGGCUGGAGCCUAAUCCUUUCUGUCAAGCUGACUGACUGUGAGCGGAGACUUCAGGAAGUCCAGCAAUUGUAGGAGCGCAGCCAGAGGCAAGACAGAGAAAGAAACAGCAGCAGAGCCUGUCCUAAUGCUUCACGGACACUAUACAGAAGACUGGAAGCAUAUGGUCUUGUGACAGGAUCAGUUCCUAACUCAUGCAGUAGUGCAGAGAAAGCAGCAAGACGUAUUCCUGCCUCCCAGGAAAGCUGUGAGAAUUGGCUGUCACACGGUGUUGGGCAUAGCAGAGGCCUGAAAGAACAUGCGAUUCCCUGGCUUUCUCCUCUUUCUUCAAUAGUAAGCCAGGGAAGAGCAAUGAGAAAUGGACCGCACGUGCCUCUGAGUUUCAGUUUAGUAUACGCCUAACGGCUAAGAUUGUGACAAGCCAUCUGAACCUCUCGGAUGUGACAGGAUUGGAUUGGAAAUCUGCUUAAGCAUCUGAAGAGAAUAGAAGACGUUCUACUUGCCAGUCCAUGUGGAGCUGUUGACCUGCUGCUUCUGCCACUGAUAAGAAAAGCAAGGCCAACUUCUGCUGCCAGAGUCAAAUAAUAUUCACCUCUAAAUAUCAAACAUACUCCCAUCCUGCCUGCUCUGUUUGACAUAAUUCAGGUUUGCCACAGGCUCACUACAUAGCCAUGAUGACCUUGAACUUCUGACACUCCCAACUCCCACUGGGAUUGUGAGCUAUCAUAACAACCUAUAUUGUGAGGUGUUGCGGUUUGAGCCCAGGGUCAUGUUUGGCAAGCACUCUACCAACUAAGCCAUAUCUCUAGUGCCCAGGCAAGCUUUCUCUUGGUCUUGAUCCCACAAAAGUGAAAACAGAGGCACUUCUCUUCAUCUUCGGGAGCAGAUCAAUAAAUCAAGAAUACAGAGGGGCUUGAACACAUCUGAAUGUAGCCAGUAUCCUUGUCAAUGCCAGUAAGAAGGCAGGAUAUUAACAAGGGAUAGAUUUGUGGCUUUGUAAUAUCAGCCAGCAGAGAGAAACCACUUUAAUUUUUUUGGAAAAAAAAAGCCUUAUACUUUAUUGACAAAUGAUUCUGUGAAUAGCUAUUUUAUAUACUUUGCCUAAAAUUGUAACAUGCUUAUUGUAAGAAACCAAACAAUUCAAAGGUGUUUAUUUAUUUAUAGACAAGAUCUGUUCAUGUAGCUCAGGAUGGCUCUAGACUCUGAUCCCCAAAUCAUCAUAUGAUAGUGUUCUAAGACAACAAAUAAGAUGACAACUCAACAAUCAUUGACAUAUAUAGUAAAAUCUUGGUAAUCGUCUCUAGAUAUGUACUGUAUCCACUUACACAUUCUUUCAUCUCUAAAUGAUCACUAACAUUAAUUGAAUAUAUAGUAUAUCAUAUAUAGUUACUAUUUCAUUGUCUCAUCAAUUAUUAAUUCAUAAAAUACCACUAAGGUAUUGAUAUUCUCAGUAUCAUAUUUAGGAAGCAAGUAUCCUAAAAGGCAAGGUCUAUGGGAUAUGAUGAUGUGCUCAGCUUCUGUUAGAGGAGUUGCAGCUAAUGAAUAACUGAGCUGUCAGAAUUGCUUGGGAUACUUAGUGUGAUUAAAUCCCCAAACUAGAAAUAUCAUACAAAGAUAUGUUAUAUCCACCUUGGGUUAAUUCCUUAGAACAGGUCAUGAACGACAUGCUAAUAAAUCCCAUCUGUGUCUAUCCUGGGCAGGAGACCAUGGGCCACAGAGAGCCCAGCAGAAAGUCUCUCUGCAUUGACUCACAGAACCUCCUUCUCUGAGGUCUUGAUGCACAGAUCCCUAGUAUUUGUCAUCCCUUCUCACAGCUUCGGGAAACCUUCAAAUAUUUGAGGUUAGCUCUCAUGACUCCCAGAGAAAUUUCUGAGCAGAUGCAACCAAUACAUUCAAUUGUUCUUUGUCCCUUUGCACAUUUCGGAGCUCCUCAACAAUUUAUUUAUCAAUUUUUACUUUCUCGAGAGAGUGGGGUUGGGGGAGAUAAACUAAAUAUUUAUAAGCAGCAAAAGUGGGAAGCACAUGGGUGAGUUGGUUCUCCUCUCAUGAGGUAAUACAGGAAUAACAGGACUAGUGGACAAGAAGAAGGCUGUGCCCUGGAAAAGUGCCUCCAGAUAGGAAAAAAUAUAGACCUUGAAAAAAACUAAAUAUAGGAUGCAUUUGAACUAGGUUCACCCAGUGAUCUAGAUGCUUCUCAACACAGUAACCAGAACUGACCCCAGAAGUCCAAGUAUCACCCAACUCUCAAAAAAAUUAUUGUUAAUUCCUUAUUGGAAUAACUAUACAUUCAUUAAUGCUGCAAAAAUUCCAUUAACCUUUUAGACUGUGAUAGUCACUUGACUCACUCCAGGCUCCCUGGGAGCUAAAGCUGGGAACAAUUUUUGUACAGUAGUUAUUAGUUGUUUUUCUUGAAUGCAGUUUGGGGAGUCUAUGUUUAUUCUGACUACAUUUCAUGCUGUCAGAUUUAACCCAUCUUGCCAAUCUGUCAAGUCUCUUCUGCACGCUGACUGCCAUCUUUGAAUCCAAUGCAAACAUUGCCUGUGCCAGUUUCAUGCCACCUAUGGUUCUGAUACAUAUGCUUUUUAUUGACAUAUCACAUGCUAUAAAUUGCCUCUUAUAAGAUGUAUGUAUAAUCAACUGGAUGAUAAACAACACUGUGUAGCCAUCACUUCUUUCUAUUUUGAGAACAAUGCUUUGGUUUCUCUAUAGACAGUACAAAUCUCUUACUUUCAGGCCACAUUUUCCUCUUCUUUAUCCCAUUAACAGUCUAAUUCCCCCUACCCAUCCUCAGGCAACUAUUAUCCCACUUUCUGUCUGUAUACAUUUGCCUUUUAUGUACAUAGACAGGUCGCAUAAAUAAAAUUACUGACAUGUCACCUCUUGGUUUCCUUUUCUUGUAGUGUAAUACUUUUAAAAAGUACAGCCAUUAUAUAACAUGUAUUAGAACUUGGUUUUUGAUAAAAUAAUGGCAUACUCUAUAAAUAACCUUUGACUGUUGAUGGAUGCCUUAAUUGUGCCCAUUUCUUACAUGAAGAAUAAUGCAGCUACAUGUAAAAUGAGCAUUAUAUAUAGCUCUGGAUAUAAACACAUACAUAUACAUAUUAUUUUCAUGUGAACAAAUGGUUUUAGUUCUUUAGUUCUGAAGUGAAUGACUGAUCAUAGCAGACUUCUGUUUAAGUUUUUGAAAAUGACAGUCUGCUCUCCAAGUCAGUUUUUCCUUUACCAAUAUGUGAGGGCUUUGAUUUGGAUCAUUUCCACAGAAGCAGUGGUUGUGUUUCUUAUUGAAGUGGCCCUGGUGACUGGGAGGUGGGGUUCAGGUUUUCAUUGUCUCAUGACUAACCCUGCAGUAUCUUUCUCUGUGCUCAUUGACUAUUGGCCUAUCUGCCACUGAGACAUGGCUACCGAAAUCUUUGCCCACAUUUUAAUUGAAUUAUUUGGUUUUGUGAUUAAAUCACAAGAAUGCUUUGUUUAUAUCAUCAGUCCUUGGUCAGAUACAAGAUUCACAAAUAUUGUCUACUAUUCCAUGGGUUUUAUUUUACUUCCUGGUGAAGCACAUGUCUCAAAUGUUGAAAUGUAAACUUGACUAUAUGAUUCCUAUUGCUUAUGUUUUUUGUUGUUGUUCCAAUUUUUACAUUUUUUUUCAUACUAUAUCCUGGUCAUUCUAUCUUCCUCUCAGUUCCCACUACUAUUACGCUCAGAGAAGGAAAACUGGUUUUCUUCAGUGGAGUGACAAUGGAUCUGUCAACCACAACCCAGGGCAGGCUUCAUGCCUGGGAAGAGUUGGUCAGCACAAAAUGUGCCCCAUGGUUUUUCUUUAUUGCCUUUGUUUAUAUUUUUGAUGGCAUGGUCAGGAUGCAUUGCCAAAUCCAAGAUCAUGAAAAUCCUACCUACAUUUUUCUUCUAAUAGUUUUAUAAUUUUAGCUUCUACCUAUAGGUAUUUGAUUCACUAAAGUUUAUUUUUUAUGCAUAAUGCAAAGCAAGGGUCUAACAUAAGGUUUGCAUGUGAUAGACAGUUUUGUAGUUGUCCCAGAACCGGUUGUUGAAAAGACUAUUCUUCCUCUACUGAAUUGCGUUGGCACUUCUGUCAAAAAUGAACUGUCUAUAAAUAUAAGGAUUUAUUUCUAGACUUCUAAUUCUAUUCCAUUUGUAUAUGUCUGUGCUCAUGCUAAUAGCACACUGUCAUUAUUGCUGCAGUUUUAUAAAUUGUGUUACAGAAUCCAGUCAUAGCAAUUUUGAAUAAAACAGGACUGAGUAAAGAGCCCUGUGUGACACAGGAUCAUGAAGCUCAUGAAGACAGGGGUCACAAUUUCUUUGGUUACUAGUACAUUUUUAGUAAAUAAGGUCUGACAUACAGUUAAGCUCUGAAUAAAUAUGUGUUCACUGACAGACUGGUUGCCUGAAUAACGACAAAUAUAAGUAGAAUCAAAUUUCAAUCCCAUAUAAAUCUAUUUGUGAUGGUUUGUAUUGCAUGGGCCAGGGAGUAGCACUGUUAGGAGGUGUGGUCUUGUUAGAAUAGGUGUGUCACUGUGGAUGUGUGGGCUUUAAUAUCCUAGUCCUAGCUGCCUGGAAGUGAGUAUUCUCCUAGCAGCCUUCAAAUGAAGAUGUAGAACUCUCAGAUCCUGCUGUAUCAUGCUGGCCUGGAUGCUGCAAUGUUCGUGCCUUGAUUAUAAUGGGCUGAACCUCUGAACCUGUAAGCCAGGCUCAAUUAAAUGUUGUCUUUAUGAGAGUUGCCUUGGUCAUGGUGUCUGCUCACGGAAGUAAAACCCUAAGACACUACUUAUCUAGAUCUGCUCUCUCUGCUUUCCUCUCUCAUUGUAUCUGCCUGGGACACUAGUAUGGAAGACUUUGCCAAAUGCCUUGAUAAAGGCCCUCUCAUUUGUUGUAAUCCUAGGGGCCAAGAGACUUCAUGUGACAUCCAUCACUGUAGAAUUAUCAAAAACAAUGCCAUUCCUGUCACAGGAAGAACUUCACCUGAUGGUUUAUUUCCACAAAACCUUUGUUACCAGCUUAUAUGAACUGUAAAUUUCACAAGCAAUUACACUGUUUUCAUUUAGUAGACCAGGAGGAAAAGAAGCACUGUUUCAAAAGCUAGUGUCCUGAUUGUUGCUGCCCUUUGCCAAAGAGGCAACCCAGAAAGCGAUGAUGGGGCAAAGGAAAACCUCUGUGCACACCCUUAUGACAGGCAUAACCAAGGGCCUUCUACUUCUGAAAAGAGCAUGGAAGAGUUUCAAAAUGGCAUCAGAUAGGAGUAUUCAUCUGAAGAUGAAAUACAGGCCAGAAAAGACAAGGAGAUAUUCAGUCUUUUUUCAUAAACCCAGUAUUUUCGUAUUUGUAUAAAACAAAUGACAUUUAAAUUACUGGGGAGAGACAUACACAUUCACAUACAUGUACCUGUACACACACACACACACACACACACACACACACACACACACACACACACAUGCACGUACCUGAAAAUGGCAUAUUUCUACAUUUAGUUGAAGUCUGGGGUUUCUCUUUGCAGAGUAGAUCUACACACAAAUACUGACACUGACAUCGACACUCAAGCUAGCCUGUCUUAUGGAAAUGCCCUUGACUGAAAUUACAAGCAACUCUUGUAACAUAGAUAAUCAUUUUGGCCUCAAGUACUAGCGCUGCUUUCAUGUGUAUAAAUAAUAGCCAUCUCCAUUAUCAUCCAAGAUUGCUACACAGGUUAUCCCAUUUAAUCUUUUCAGUUGAGGUGGAUAUUUUUCUUUACUGCAAAAAUGAGACCAUCAAAGCUCAGAGAAGCUAGAAAAAAUUAUCAAUUCAUAAUCAUUGGAGCCAGGACUUAGAACCAGAUCUAUUUGAUACCAAGCUGUAUGACUUUAAUCACCGUGUCAUGAUGCCUCUUAGAAAGACAUAAUGCACGAACAUGUACAUAGGGCAAUCUUAAAGAAAAAGAAGAUGCUUGUGUAGCUGAAAGAUUCCCAAAUAUAAUCCAAUUGCUCUUUCUCCAGCUGCUAGCCCUGGACUUGCCCAGGCCAAAUUUACAUAUUCAUGGACUGCCUGUCUGACCCUCUCACAUUCUCAGUACUGCAUAUUUGGGGUUUGCUUGUUUUGUUUAUGGUUUGUUUAUUUGUUUGUUUGUUUGGCUUCAUUCUUGUUGUUUGUUUGGUUGGUUGACUGGUUUUUACACAGGUCUUCUGAUAUAGCCAAAGAAAAUCUGAGGUCACUCAUGAUCUUUCUGCCUCCUUCUCAGAGUGUGAACCAUCAUGCCUGGUGGAUAUAUUUUUUUAAGUUGUAACAACAAGAAAACUCUACAUAGCAUGUACUCUACCCUCUUAACAUCUUUUCUCAUUGUAGAGUAUUCUUAACUGUAUCCACAAUUGCUGUACAGAUUUCUCUCUAGAAUUUUUUCAUGUUGCAUGACAAUGACUUAGCAUUCACUGAACAAAAAUUUCCAUUUGCCUUCCCCAUAUCCUUGGCUAACUAGCAUUCUAGCCUUGUCUAACUACUAUUCUGCUUUUAUCCCCUGUGACCUGACUCCUUUGGUGCGUUAUGUAAGUAGACUGAGGGACUAUUUGCCUUCUGUGAUUGACUUGAUUCUUUUAUCAGUCUCCCCAAGUCUCCUAGAUGUUAUGACAUGUGACUAAAUAUUACCUUGCAAGCAUCUACUGCAUCUUCUCUGUCCAUUUGCCAUUCAGCAAACACUUACUUGAAUUUGCCAUUACACAAAAAACAAGAGUCAGACAGUUUUUUCAGGGCACUAUUUACAUUUUUAAAAUACAUAUUCAGAAAUUAGUGUCAGCAAUAUGGCGCAGCAGGUAAAGGAGCUUGGAUGUCCAGAACGCACAUGGCAGAGGAAGAGAAGAGAUCCCAGAAGUGGUCCUUUGACUUCCAUAUGUGCACACUCCCGAUAUAAGAAAUUAGUAAAUGUUAAAAAAUAAUAAAUAAAAAUCCAGAAAUAGAAUGGCUGGAUCAUAUUUUCAUGUGUGUAUAUGUAUGUAUGUGCGUGUGCCUGUUUCUCUAGCCAUGUGUCUUAGUAUGCACGCAUGUGGAGGUCACAAAUGAAGGUGUGGGUAUCUUUCCACUUUGUAUUAGUUUAAGUAUAUAGAGAUAUAACAUUUAAGUAUGUGCAGGAGUCUGUGGAGUCUGGAAAUCAGUGUUGAUUGUCUUUUAAAAUUGUUCUUCACACUUAUUUUUGAGACAGAGUACCUUACCUAAUAUUCAUCAAUUCUGAUAGACUGGCCAGCCAGCUAGCCCCAGGACUUCCCUGUCUCUAACUUCCCAUAACUAAAGUUCAAGGCCAGUUUGGAUUACAUGGGGAAAUCCAUUACACACACACACACACACACACACACACACACACACACACACACCUUUUACAUAUCAUAUAUGAGUAUCUCCUUAAAUAAUUUUACAGUAGCCCCUUGUGAAGUUAGUAGUUUACAAAUAAGCAUUCCAAUUUCAUAAACUUCACACUGUUGAUUUUUUUUUUGAUGUUCAUGAGCAGUUUAAUUGAUGCUACAGAUGUCAUAUCUAGGAACCUGUCUUAAGUAUGGUGUCCUUGUGUGUCCCCUCCCACUUUGGGGUUUUAUUUUCCAGUCCUUACUAUUUAAUCUUUACUUUACCUUCAGUUUGUUUUGUCUAUGGGAUAAGGAUCUACUUAUAAAUAGAUACUCAUUUUUUCUAAUGCCGUUUGUAUAUGCCAAAGUUGAUGACUUUUUGGCAUCUGUGUUGAAAAAAAUUUGACCAGAUAAUAUGAGUUUAUAUCUGGGCUUUCCAUUCUAUUCUAUUGAUCUAUACUUCUAUCUUCUUGUACCAUACUGUUUUGGUUACUACAGCUUUGCUAUAUUUGAAGACAACAUGGAGGAUAAAACCUAGGAACAUACAGCAAAUGAUUUAUCAUUGCUAAAAUGACUACACUACCCCAAGUGGUAGACUCAAUCUUUUUCAAAGUCUCAAAAUAAUUUUUUAUUCUUUUGCAGAAAUAAGGUGCAGAACAGGGGAAGAUUAUAGUACUGCUAUGUCUUGAAGUUCGUAUAGAAUCACAAGGGAUCAUAAAUAGUGAAAAAACAGCCUUAUGGAAGAAGAACACAGCUCUAGGCUUUAAUUCCUUGUUUUCUCUUGAAGGUCAGUCCACAACAAAAGCCUAUCAGAUUUUUAUGAAACUCUCGUUGAGUGUAAGGUUUGAAAGAAAAAUUGGAAACCAUUUAAAUAAGUGCAUCCCAGAAACCUAAAGCCUAUUUCAACACUUCAAGUCCACUACAGGACUUAAAUGCUAGGACUAAAAUGCUCAUGGGUCCUAAGUUCAUACACAAACACGCAACCAUGAUGAUAUCAAGGACUUGGAACUGGAGCCUUUAGUUAGAAGGGUAGGAACACAAGAAUGAGGUUAGCACAGAACACGGGCUUUCUCCUUUUCCUGCAGUGACAAUUUUGGAAUUUUGGUUUCUUUAAAAAGCACAGAAAUAUUCCUUUUUAUCCCAGGUGUGGGAUAUGGGACUGCUUCAGAUUGUCUAGAACAGCGAUGAUUUGCUUCAUGCUUUUGCAGGGGUGUGAUUUUGCCAGCUGCAGAUAGUUUCUGCAAUUGUGUGAUGCUUGGAAUUCUAGGGACUUUUCAGAGGGUAUAUAAAUGCUAGGGCCUGGAGAGAUGAGGUCAAUUUUAGCUGCUGAUUGGUUGUUGGUGUCAUGAUUUGUUAAGUAGUUGUGUGCAAAGAAGAAACAAUAUAUAUAUCCUGACAAUAAAGCUCAAACUUACCCCAAGGAACUUGAUGCCUCUAAUCAGUAGAAAGUCACCCCCUUUCUUUCCAUCUUUUCUCUUGUCCAAUCUAGUUUUAGGGACUUGAAAGGGUGAAGAAGGGUGGAAGAAAGAAGAACCCACAAAAUAGCAAAAGAUACUUUCACCAUGUGAGUGUACAGCAAGAAGUCUUAAAUCAGCAUAGUGUGAGCCAUUGAUGAGCCAGGAAAUGGGCCCUCAGCAAACACCAAAUCUACAGAUGUGCUAAUUCUGGAAUUUCUAAAUCUAUGUUGUGUAUAAGCCAUCUAGGACAUAGCAUUUUGUUGCAGCAUCCCAAAUGGACUAAGGCAGAAAGCCAGUUCCCAUCAACCAAUCAAAUCAUCUCUUCAAUUCGUUCCCCAACUUGAUACAGCUCCCAUGAGUUCUAUUCAGGGUAUAUCAUUUCAUCCAUUGUUACAUCUGCUAAGAAGAUGCUGUGCAUUUUUAAGAAUGGUCUCAUACUUUUUUCUUCAAGUUCAAAUGCCUUUUCUCUAAACUGGUUCAACCUGACAAGUCCAGCUCCUAUACACACUCUGACCUAAUUUAGAUCCCAGUGUCCUUAUCUAGCAGCUACAUGUCUCUACACAACUCAUUCAACGAACCCAAAUAUCAGUGUCAUCAUCUAACAGUACAGUUAAACUGUGACACAAAACAAAGUGCAUCUUUGUCCUUUGUUCCUGGUUCCUGGCACAGAGAUCCUAACGUACUUUUUCUGACUGAUUAGGGGGUGUGAAAGAAACAAAAGUUGUUGUUUUUAUUAUUAUUAUUAUUAUUAUUAUUAUUAUUAUACAUAAUUUUCUUCUUUCAAACAUAACUUGGCUUUGCUAAGUAGUUAUUCGUGGAACCGUCAGAAGCUUCGGAAUGAGCAGGAGGAACUAAACAGGUGUUUGAAGGGUGGGAACUUUCAGUCCUUUUUCAACGGUCGUGUAAGAUAAGAGAUGGAGACAAUAGGGUCAAUCAGCGAUGGGCCAUGAUUUAGUCAUUCACAUCUAUGUAAUAGAGCCUCCAUGUGAAUACCCAGGACAGAAUUCAGAAACCAGGGUUGGUGAACACUGGCAGAGAGGAGCAAUUGGAAAGGGCAUAGAAGCUUUGCUUACCCUUCUCUAUGUCCUACCUUGCACCUUGUCUCUUUGUCUUGUCCAUUUUGUUGUAUUGUAUCCUUUAUAAUAAAAUGAGACGUGUAAAUGAAGCAUUUUCUGAGUUUUAUGAGAAAUUCUGGCAAGUUAUUGAACCUUCACAAUGAGUUGUGGGAGAUCCUUUACUCUAGACUCUAGAGAUGGCCAGUCUUACGGUGGUAAGAUUGAGAUUGGCCUGCAGAGUAGGGAGAGUUUAGGGUGCUUUGAGUUUGGAAGCUAAACUUCUGGUAGUUCAUGUCAAAAUUGAAUUGUCUUGUUGGACAUCCAGUUUGUGCCUGGAGAGAUGAAGCACUACUGUUGGUAAGGGAAAGUCCCAUAUAUUUAAUGACAGUAGGCUGUGAGCAGAAACACAUCAUCAUAGCAGUAGAUAUACCUAUGCUAACGGUUUGAUAUGGAGAUUAAAUUAAAUGACACAGAGCCUGACAUAGCUUAUCAAAGACUGUGUGUCAGCUCUUCUUAUUUAUGAACAUUUACGUCUCUGGGAUGUGUAGGUAGUCCCUGCGGUCAGUCAUGUAGUUUUUAUCCACAGUAUCUGUGGCUUUUCAAAACUGGGCAGGAUGUGUGAGACAGUUCUUAAAGAGAAGGAACGUGGGGCUGGGCAAAAGAAGGAAGUAAGAGACAGACCAGGAUCUAGAGAAGAAGUGGAGAGGGACAGACAAGCAAGGUAGAAGGGUAAUUUAAGAUCAAAUCAUUGCCUAUAAUCUCCCAUAAUGAAUUCAGGUCUACCCCUUCAUCCUCCGGGUCCAGGACCAGGGAAUGCAGUCCGUGGAUAGAUCUUGAAGGAAGUAAAUGUAAGAAUAUGCUUCCUGUGACCCCUUGCUAACUGGCUCUCUACCCAUCCCUGAUCCUUUAAGUGACCCAGUCUGAUUUAGGUUCUUAGAGGUCAGAAAGGAACUCAGAUCACUUCUAUGAAUAUGUAAUGAGCCUGUAAGUGCACUUUAGGCAACAAAUCAAAACCACUGUUAGCAGUUACUUCAACUCAGGACUCUUCUCUCUCUGAAAGACCAACUGCCCUUUCAUAAAAACCCCCUUUCUCUGUGGAUCAUACAUCUUACUGUGGAAGACUAUACAUUCUCAUUAAGCAACAUCAAUUCUCAACACAUCUGAUAUACUCUCAGGUGCUUCUUUAAGUAAAAAUUAAAUAAGAAGCAUUAUGUUGAAGAAAAUGAAAGCUGAUUUUAUGUACUCUUUUUCCUCUGAAUACAACUUUCUUACCAGGGUUUUUCUAGUAUAAUUAUAUUCCUGGGAAAACAGGCAGGAAAAGAAUAAAUCAGCAUACAGUCUUUCUUUAAAAUUCUAUUUUAUAUUUUAUGACCUUUACAGGUUGUUAACAAAAUCAAGUCUGAAAUUUUCUACAGUGAACACAAAAUAUUUUCCUUUUUCGUUGACUGUAAAAGGAAAAUCAUAUGUAAUAUUGGUUCAGCUGUAUCUUUUAAACAACGGGGUCAACCACAGGAUUUCAUUCACUCUGAGGAUUUCUACUAACUUAUUUCUUAACGUAGAUGCCGGACACAUAGAUUUUGCUUAACACAUUUUUCUGAAUGAGUAACCAUUAAUAUUAACAAUAAAAACUAAGAAUGUAUGUGAGGUAAGGAAAUGUCAAUCAUUUUGCCUGGCUGAUUUUCCUUACAAAUCCUCCACUGUACCUUUCAUAAAUAGAGCAAAGCCAAUCUCAAGGGAUGCAGGAGCCAUUUUGUCAUUUUGUCAUGUACCUUCAUUCAUUUCAGAGGCACAUUCUUGUUUGUUCAUUAGGAAGGUCAUGGAAGCUGUAAGGGGGAAAUCACAUCUUCAGAUAACAGGGAAAAUUUGAUCACAUGAAUCUUAGUUGACACCUCCAAAGUGCUUAAACUUAAAACAAGAUUUUUCACAUCAAAGGAAAAACCUAACCUCUCUUUUGCAAAGUUAUGGUCACUGAACAAAACUGUACUGAUCUUCCCAAGAACACAGAGUGUAAUGGCUAUUCUUGGUUGUACACUUGACUACAUCUGGACUUAGCUAAAACCCAAGUGGCUGGGUGUUUCAGUAUAUCUGAUCAUACUGUGAACUCCAGGACUGUAUACUGGAUAAACCUGUCUCCAGCUGUGGUGUGACUCGGCUAUGACAUACACUUUUAUAUAAGAGUGCUGCAGCAUAUUUCAUCACAAUGUGAGACUGUGUACUGGAAAAACUGUUUCUAGUUGUGGUGUGGCUCAGCCCUAGCACACACUAUUAAUCCAAGAGCUUUCUGUUUAUUGUAAACAAGAUUAAAUAAAGUCAACCAUAGGUCAAGAGGUGGAGCAAGAAAUCAGUUGACAGAGUGUAAAUAAGAAAAAAAAACAGAGAGAGAAAGAAGUCAGGAGGACAGAUAGAGAGAUGCAUAGGAAGUAGAAAGAAGGGGCAUUCAGUUUGAAGGGUCUUUAAGACAGUGUGGAAAAGGAGAACUGGCUUCUUUUUUCCAUCUGAGAUGUAGGCUGAAGAAGAAGGUCAGCUAGAUGCUUUCUCUUCCUCUCUGAGCUUGUAGCAUCUGGCUCCUGAGUCUUCAUUGGUAAAAUCAAACGAUUGGGAUUUUGUUUUAACAAAACAACAGCUGGGUACAGCAGUGAGAGAUUAUUUUCUUCAUUAAGUCAUUCAAAUUGGGAAGAUCCAGUUAUAAUCUGGAUCUUUUGCUGGAAGCCUGUGUGUGUGUGUGUGUGUGUGUGUGUGUGUGUGUGUGUGUAUGACAUAGAAGAAGGAAGCUUGCUCCAAUGCUCACUGGCUGGUCCAUUUCUUCACUGGCAUUAGAGCUUACUUCUUGGAAAUUCUGGUAUAUACUGAGACAUCUGGUAUAUACUGAGACAGGCAGCUGAGACAUCUAGCCUAGUAGACUGAACAACUACUGGAUUCUUGGAACUUACAUUGGUAGACAGACAGUGUGGGCCUAAUUGGACCACAACCUGUAAGCUAUCCACAUAGAUUAUUUAUAUAUUACACACACACACACACACACACACACACACACUCAUUCU